AUGCAAGUCGAACGAAUCUCUGGGGGCUUGCUCCCAGGGGAAAGUGGCGAAAGGGGCAGUAAGGCGUGGGUAACCUACCCUGGGGAUCGGGAUAGCCCUCCUAACGGAGGGGUAAUACCGGGCGAUGUCGCCGAGGCGCAUGUUUUGGCGAUGAGAUGAAUUUCGCCUCGGGAGGGGCUCACGUGGUAUUAGCUAGUUGGUAGGGUAACGGCCUACCAAGGCAAAGAUGCCUAGCGGGUGUGAGAGCACGACCCGCGCCACUGGCACUGAGACACUGGCCAGACUCCUACGGGAGGCUGCAGUCGAGGAUCUUCGGCAAUGGGCGCAAGCCUGACCGAGCGACGCCGCGUGUGCGAUGAAGGCCUUCGGGUUGUAAAGCACUGUCGAGGGGGAGGAAAGCCGCAAGGUCUGACCUAUCCCUGGAGGAAGCACGGGCUAAGUUCGUGCCAGCAGCCGCGGUAAGACGAACCGUGCGAACGUUGUUCGGAAUCACUGGGCUUAAAGGGCGCGUAGGCGGGCUGCCAAGUCCGGGGUGAAAUCUUUCGGCUUAACCGGAA
rnacentral:rRNA from 1 species